rnacentral:rRNA from 1 species
GGAUCGCAGGCUGCAACCCGCCCUGCGUGAAGCUGGAAUUGCUAGUAAUCGCGGAUCAGCAAGCCGCGGUGAAUACGUUCCCGGGCCUUGUACACACCGCCCGUCACACCAUGAGAGUCGGGAACACCCGAAGUCCGUAGUCUAACCGCAAGGGGGGCGCGGCCGAAGGUGGGUCCGGUAAUUGGGGUGAAGUCGUAACAAGGUAAC